AUGGAGCCCCUGGAGGCGGCGAUAGCGAUCGUGUUCAACGCGCUGCUGCUGGUGUUCAUGGUGAAGCUCUUCUUCGCCAUGUUCCAGAUGAAGCUCGUCGUCAUCCUCUUCUACCUCGUCGUCGUCCUCUUCGCCCUCGCCUUCUCCGGCCGCGGCCCCGCCGGCUUCUAG
rnacentral:rRNA from 1 species